GACGAACGCUGGCGGCGUGCUUAAUACAUGCAAGUCGAACGCCGUUGCGAACGGGUGAGUAACGCGUAGGUAACUGCCUCAUAGCGGGGGAUUACUAUUGGAAACGAUAGCUAAUACCGCAUACUGUGGGAUGGACCUGCGUUGUAUUAGCUUGUUGGUGAGGUAAAGGCGCACCAAGGCGACGAUACAUAGCCGGCCUGGGAGGGUGGAGGGCGACACCGGGAAUGAGGCAACGGCCAGACUGCCAAGGGAGGCAGCAGUAGGGAAUGUUGGGCAAAGGGCGGAAGGCUGAACGAGCAAAUGCGGGGGAGCGAAGAAGGGGUUCAGGGCGUAAAGGUUUGUUGUUAGAGAAGCGGUAACUAAAGAGGAAGCGACGGCUAACUACGUGCCAGCAGCCGCGGUAAUAC
rnacentral:rRNA from 1 species